rnacentral:rRNA from 1 species
CCUACGGGGGGCUGCAGUGAGGAAUAUUGGUCAAUGGGCGAGAGCCUGAACCAGCCAAGUCGCGUGAAGGAUGAAGGAUCUAUGGUUUGUAAACUUCUUUUAUAUGGGAACAAAGUGAGGAACGUGUUCCUUUUUGUAUGUACCAUAUGAAUAAGCAUCGGCUAACCCCGUGCCAGCAGCCGCGGUAAUACGGGGGAUGCGAGCGUUAGCCGGAUUUAUUGGGUUUAAAGGGUGCGUAGGUGGUUAAGUAAGUCCGCGGUGAAAGUUUGGGGCUCAACCAUAACAUUGCCGUUGAAACUGGUUGACUUGAGUAUAUUUGAGGUAGGCGGAAGGCGUGGUGUAGCGGUGAAAUGCAUAGAUAUCACGCAGAACUCCGAUUGCGAAGGCAGCUUACUAGACUAUAACUGACACUGAAGCACGAAAGCGUGGGGAGCAAACAGGAUUAGAUACCCCUGUAGUC